AGCACGGGUGCUUGCACCUGGUGGCGAGUGGCGAACGGGUGAGUAAUGCGUCGGAACGUACCGAGUAAUGGGGGAUAACGCAGCGAAAGUUGUGCUAAUACCGCAUACGCCCUGAGGGGGAAAGUGGGGGACCGCAAGGCCUCACGUUAUUCGAGCGGCCGACGUCUGAUUAGCUAGUUGGUGGGGUAAAGGCCUACCAAGGCGACGAUCAGUAGCGGGUCUGAGAGGAUGAUCCGCCACACUGGGACUGAGACACGGCCCAGACUCCUACGGGAGGCAGCAGUGGGGAAUUUUGGACAAUGGGGGCAACCCUGAUCCAGCCAUUCCGCGUGAGUGAAGAAGGCCUUCGGGUUGUAAAGCUCUUUCAGCUGGAACGAAACGGUACGCGCUAACAUCGUGUGCUAAUGACGGUACCGGCAGAAGAAGCACCGGCUAACUACGUGCCAGCAGCCGCGGUAAUACGUAGGGUGCGAGCGUUAAUCGGAAUUACUGGGCGUAAAGCGUGCGCAGGCGGAUUGUUAAGCAAGACGUGAAAUCCCCGGGCUUAACCUGGGAAUGGCGUUUUGAACCGGCAGUCUAGAGUGCGUCAGAGGGGGGUGGAAUUCCACGUGUAGCAGUGAAAUGCGUAGAGAUGUGGAGGAACACCGAUGGCGAAGGCAGCCCCCUGGGAUGACACUGACGCUCAUGUACGAAAGCGUGGGUAGCAAACAGGAUUAGAUACCCUGGUAGUCCACGCCCUAAACGAUGUCAACUGGUUGUUGGGGGAGUGAAAUCCCUUAGUAACGAAGCUAACGCGUGAAG
rnacentral:rRNA from 1 species